UGGCUCAGCGGUUAAGAGCACUGGCUCCUCUUCCAGAGUUCCUGGGUUCAAUUCCCAG
rfam:Rattus norvegicus chromosome 8, whole genome shotgun sequence.